GAAUUAAUUGGCAUGCUUGCUAAGAGGCAGGAACAACAUGGUGAACUAAUUCGUGGCUGGAUGGCUGGAGGGUUCAAGCAGCCAGAGAGGAGCGGCGCAUAGUGGAAAGUGUGACUAGGAGGAGGAUAGCUGUGCCGGAGGGGCUGAGCACUGCCUAAAAGAACCAGAGGCAAAGAGAUAUAGGGGUAUCCUCGUGGGCAGGACUCCUUUCAAAGGGGCUCCAUCGCUUCAUCGCUUCCCACGAGGCUGCCAUGUGUGGGGGGAUGGCCAGCCUGCAAGAGUGGGAGGGAGGGGCAGGAGAGGUGCAGCUGGAGCAGGCUCCACAAAAAGGCUGUGGAAAUGCAGAGAGCAGGGAAAUGACGAGGGACACGUCACUCAGUGCAAGCUGAAAUGCAGAGGGGGUGGUAAGGAGAAGAGGAGCAGGCAGACAGAGAUUUGGAAGUCUCAUCCCAGAAGGACUGUCCUCAAGAGUGCAGUAUUUUCCAGUGCAACGCUGUGACUGUUUUGAAGACAUACUUGGGCUUGGUAUCUGGUUCCUAUUACAGAUGACCUUGCAGACUUCUUCUGCUAGAAACCUUCCUAGCAAAUAUCUAACUCCCUUCUACAAUUCCACCUAAGAGAGAGAAGACAGCUUGAUUUCCAUAGCAGGGGAAAGUCAAGGUCCUACGAACCACCAUCAUGGUGACUCUUCCUCUCUUCCUCUUCUUCAUCCUCUUGCCCUGCAGUAAAUCCCAGGAGGACUUUCUGGACCAAAACCUGAAAUGGGACUACAGAGAAGGCGCUGACAAAGUCAACAUAGGAGGCAUUAACAGCAUUACUCAAACACUUGAGAAAUGGGGAAACAGCAUCUUCUGGCAAAUGAAACACAUCCUGCUGAACAACCCAGAGUCUUUACUGCCGGAGAUCUCCAGUCUCCGCCCUGUUUCUGCAGCCGUGGAGAAUCUUGUGAGGGAAGUCCAGGCAAUACGGAAAAGGCUAGAAGAACUGAAUGAACGGCUCAAUGUCAUCAACACAGCUGUCCUUCCCAUCCGAAUUAACGCUCUGCAGAGCCAGAGGCGUGGAAAUACUCAGCUGCGGAGACUCCCAGUGCACAGGAGAAGGUUGCCUGCUCGCAGGAGACUUCAGAGGAAUUAAUUCUCUACCAGAAAAAAAAGGAAAACCUUUAGUUUUUGCACCUGCUUAAGCCUUUCUCAAUGGGACACUGCUAGACAGAAUAAACCAAAGCACGUACAAGAUGACUUUACUGAGGAGACCAGAACUUUCACGUUUUGUUGCUUUAUUUCAAGCCUAGGUCAGUAGGCCAAAUCUGACCCUGGUCUUCAGUGAUGGUUGUUUUGUGUGCUAUGCAAAAUAAGUUGAGAAACUCGGUCUACUUGAGUGUGAAUACCUUUAGGCUAUGCUGUCAUUCUUUCUGCUUCCCAGGGUAAGCUCUUUUUAGAAAGUUCAGCUGAAUUUCUCUGUCCUAUUUUCACAGCACUCUGUCAGAAACAGCUGGGGAAUUCAAUCUUCAAAAGUGCUGAAUACCGGAUGAAUGCAGGAAGACAGAUUAGGGCUUUGCACUUCCAGCUGGGUAAGGAAGGGAAGAGAAAGCUAUGUUUUAAAAUACAGCCUUAACCUAUUCUCCACCAAUGCAAAUAAUGCCCUGUUCACGUGUUCAGAGAGUGGGUAGGGUUGGAUAACCUUGGACUAUGCAUAUUGUUUGAAGAGUGAUGAUAUGUCAGAUUCACAGGACCAAAGCUGAACAUCUGCCUUCUUCAGUGAGCUUUCUUUUGGCUACCUGGAGGCGGGCACUGAAAACAUUAUUCAACAGAUAUGUCCAUAACUUCCAACACUGUGAACAACAUCACAAUGACUUCUGCCAAGACCCUUCGAAAACAGGUGAUGUUUUUCCAAAACAAGUUAGGUACCUAGCAGUGUAAGUAGAUGUCUAGAAGGAUUUUCCAAAAUAGUUUGGGAAACAGCUUAGGCCCCAAAAUCACAGGUAAUUCAAUUGGUGCCUGGCUGGUAAUUCAGCUGGUGUCUAAUUCACAGAGUAUCUUCUCCACAUGCAAACACCAACCUCCAUAUCCUUCAGCACAAGUAAGAUCUGUAAAAAAAGAACUACAUACUCCCAAAGCUCAGGUGUACAUAGAAUACUCUGCCUUCAGCUUGUCUUUGCCUUCCUGGAAAUAAAACUGGUAACAAAAAACAGUGCAGAAAUCAAGUUAUGCACUGAACAGAAGAAAGAGUGGGCUUACUCUUCAGAUCUCUAAAGGUAAAUUUAAUACAGAGAUUCCCAUCCAGCACUGUAGCUAAUGGCACACCUGAAAUCUGUUGAAACAUAAGUAUGACAGUCGGAGAAAAAAAUAAACUAUUUUUAAAGCA